AAAGAAUUAGUUAAAGUCAUAAUUUGAGUUUGUCAAGCUCGAGUUGCCUUUGUGGCAUUCUUUU
rnacentral:tRNA from 1 species